CCGAUGGAGGGGGAUAACUACUGGAAACGGUAGCUAAUACCGCAUAACGUCGCAAGACCAAAGAGGGGGACCUUCGGGCCUCUUGCCAUCGGAUGUGCCCAGAUGGGAUUAGCUAGUAGGUGGGGUAACGGCUCACCUAGGCGACGAUCCCUAGCUGGUCUGAGAGGAUGACCAGCCACACUGGAACUGAGACACGGUCCAG
rnacentral:rRNA from 1 species